CUCUAUACUACAGUACGUUACGUUUACUCUGCCACCUCACAACCUACCAUUUUUCUACCAUUCUUUGUUAUUUCUUUUCAAACGUAUAAAUUUGAAAUUUUAACAUUUUUGCAUUAUUAUAUAUUAUUAUUAUAUAUUAUACAUUAUUUCAUUUUUUAGAUUCAUAAAUAUUAAAUAUAAAAGAUCAAGAAGACACAGAAGGAUUAUAAAGCAAAAGAUUUGAUUCACUCUACACAUUAGGUUACACUGCACUUACUCUACUACUACAUAAUCUGCAAUUUUUCUACCAUUUUUUGUAGUUUCUUUCCAAACGUACAAUUUGAUAUUUUACUAUUUUUGCGUCACUGUAUAUUAUUACAAAACUGCGCAGUUUUAUGCAAUUAUGGAAAAUUUGAAGAUACAAAAAUGCAUAUAAUACAUAUUAUAUGUAAAGAUAUGUGAAAAUAUUCAAAGUAGAGUACCUAUUUUAUUAAUUAUAUUUAUAAAAAUUUGUACAUAUUAAAUAUGAAGAAUUGAGAAAAUGCAGAAGGAUUGUAAAGCAAGAGAUUUUUCAAUUGAUGGAAGAUGUAGACAGAUGCAAGUACUAUAAAUUCCGGACGAAUAACGGCACCGUUUCUAGUGAAUGCAAAGUUGUUGGAGCAGUGAUGCACAAUCGACAAUGCUUCGCAUUCACGGUACCUAAGCGAUCUCAAAAUCUUAAAAAUCGUAUGAUAAUUUCCGUGUACAAGAUUUGUCCUGUUCACUAUGUGCAAUAUUAUAGCAAUAUGAAGUAUAUUCGCAAAUGAAUACAGUUUUGCACGUUUGACCAGCGGGAGUGUACAAUUAAAAAAGCUUGUGCACCACUGAAGCUAGAAUGACUCAUAUUCGUCGGACUCUCCCUACCAUUUCUUUUUGUGUUUUCGCUUCCACUUCGUUUUUUCCUUAUUUACGUCGCUUAUAUUCGUUACUUUUAGGCAUUUCAACGACUGUUUUGAACAGAAGAAAAUAUCACUAGCCAAGAAGAUUGUACAUUGUACUUUUACAUCGAAACUUGUACUUCAGAAGAAACUUGUACAUUUCAUGAAGCGGACUCACUGGUUCAAAGUCGCAAAACCUUUAUCAGUACUUGAAACUGUUAUGACUAUGACACAAUGCUUCUUGGAGUUCCAUUAUCGUUGGAGAGAAAUCAACAUUAUUUAUAUUUCAAAGAGCAAGUCGCGUUAAAUGUGUUACAUAAAAGUUCUGAACCUACGAUAUUUUUUACAAGCAUAUUUUUAAAAAAUCGGGAAACAAAUUUCACUCUCUAGCAAAAUCUAACAUCGAAGUACUUUCUAAUGAAGAACAGUAUUCAAUCUAUCUUGAGAAGCUAUUUCUUUCAAAAUUUCUUAUGAUUAUAUUUGUUCUAAAAUCAGUUAAAUAUAGACUAAUCCUGCAACAGGCAAUAAGAAAUAUACACAAGUGCGAUAAGACAAAAAGAACAGAAUGGAAGAAAUUACAGAUUCAAGAAGGAUGAGAAGGUACAGAUAUAGCGUACAUCAGUGGCUCCAAGAGAACGUUUCAAGGGAUACGUUCCAACGGUGGGUCAGCAUCGACAAGGCUGUGUAUAGGUCCUUAUAUGGUAGCCAGCCGUAUGGCUGUAUAUAGAGAGAGCUCGAAAGAGGCUGAAUACGCAACUGUGAAACACGUUCGUGUCCUUUACGUAUCCGCUUGUUGAAUAUUUCUUCUCUCCCUAUCGUCGGUACACGUGUAGGAGUCUUGCAUUGAGUGCACGCAUACGAAAGCACCCACUGGUCUGCGUUAUGCGUAACGGUAACAAAAGAAGAGGAGAUUGCUUUAGUUGUACGGUUAACACGUUUGAGUAUGUCCAAUACAUACGAAUUAAUCUUCUCAAGGCUAGUUUCAUUUUUCAAAAUUGUAUAUAACUUUAUGAAAAAGAAACAAGCCUUUAUACAUAAUAAAGAAUCUCAUAGUAAUGCCAAAAUUAAUGUAGUCUUAUUCAAAUGCUUGAUAUCGUACGAUUUCGCGGCAUGUUACAAAGUUAAGUCGGUCGAUUUCACAAAAGUCAAGAAAGCAACGGUAGUCCUCGAUGAUUCUAAAAGAUGUAUCUCAUUGGAUUAUCAUGAUACAACGAGGGGGAAGAGGAGGGCUAAAAACAGCUUCAGUACGCCAGUGUCCGAAGAGAAAUCACGAUAAAUCCUACUUGAUCUCGCGAGGAGAAAAGAGGUCUGCAAGUUAAUAAGGAAACUAGGUUGCUCGCACCGACGCGCUAGCCGGUUUGCAGGACGCGUCGGUGUACGCUACGCUUCGACGAGCCAUGCUCAUCGCGAGAUUGAACAUAUCAUAUGAGACUCACGUUUAACUGGGUAUCUUGAAAUCUCUGUACUAUAAUUACCAUAAAGAACGUUUAGUAUUUUGUCAUAAACAACAGUAAUUAUUCGAAUUUUGACGUCAUUCAUACAUAUCUUGUACAUUGAACAUUUAUAAUAUAUAUUUUUAGCUAAAGAAGAUAUGAACAGCUGCAAAGGGAUCGCGCGCAUUAUUCAUAACUUCUACGUAAGUCUGGUGAACGGACCGGCGUGUGUCUGGAACCGAUCGACUGUAAACGCAUCCGGUGGAAUCGAUAAGAUCAGUUAAUCGUCCAAAGGUUUCUGGGCAGACAUUGUCGUGGGUUCGUGGUAAAGAGAGAUCUUACGGCUGACGGCUAACGAGUUCGCGCGGCCUGCCAAUUAACUUGGGUAAUCGCGUUUAAUGGAGGACCCUCAGUGGCGUAUGCAGCGGUUCGUUUCUGAGCGGACUCGUGUGGCGUUUGGCUAUUGCAUUGACCAGUUAAUGGUGCUGGUGGACUGCGCACACGCUUGGCCACCUACGUAUACCGUCAAAUACCCACGUAAAAGCGUGCAGCAUGGCUAGAAAAUGCGUUUGCUUGCGAUGAUUCCGUGUUGCGCUCGCGCUCCGAGCAAACGCGAUACAAACGCCCUCUUUUUCUCUCUUUCUUCUUCUCUUCCUCUCUCUUUCGUGCAACCGUGACGGCUAACGAACCCUGGACGCGCGCGUAUCGUAUCGAGCGGUGGCGCGUACGUUCAGGGACGUAUUACGUGUUACCAAGCGGCUUGUCCUGCUCGCAGACUUGAAAAUACACUUCUUUUUGUCCUUAUCGUAUAAAAUGAAUUUUUCAGGCUCCAAAAGUAUCAUAAAAAUUUCUAUUGAAGUGCCCUAAUUUAAUUUUGUUAAUCUCGUUAACCUCAUUAACCUUAUCAAUAUUAAGGUAUAGAUUUCGAUAUAUCUUCGUAAUUAACAAAUAUUUAGCUGCGUUUAUAGUUAUAAGAAAAGCAAGAAUUCACCGCGAACGAUGAAAGCCACGUCAUACAUUAAAUUAUACCGCUAUUUCGACGCAGUAACCGAUGCGGAAGGAAUCCUCUUCAGCGGUCAAGAUUUCGUGAACGAGUACCAAGAUUGCUUUCGUCAUUACGCUUCUGCAUGACAAGCGACAUCCCGAUUGUGAUACUUGACAAAUAAGGGGUGAUACACUCGUGUUCAGAAGGCACUCAUUUCGUCAGGAACGUACGAUAAAUAUUCUACCAUUUGUUUAAUAAAUUUAAAGCUCUUUAAUAUUUUCUUUUUAUUAAUCAUCCCAUUAUAUUCUAGAUUCAACUGUAGAUUGUGUUCUAGGUUCUAGUCCAGAAUCGACCUUGAGUGUGCUCGAAAAAGUCUUAGGAUAUUUCUCUUCCGGAACGUGAAUGAAAUAGCGGUGCGCGCGCGCCCCUUUGGGGCUGUCGUGUAAAUAUAUACGUGUCGGUUUUAUACAUGUAGGGUUGCAUCGGGGGAGCGGUCGACUGGUGGCAGACGGUUUCAUCGAUUGGCAAUGCGGGGGUCGAAGAGUGGGGUAUCUGAACUCUUCACAGCUAUCUAUGCGUACUACAUAACGUAUCGACGACCUCGACUUUCAUGGUCAAUGGUAAAAAGGUGAUUUUUUAAUACAUCGCGUGGGAUUUACCUCGAUCCUCGUUCUUUUUCCAUUAACACGCAAGCAUUUGUAGAUAACAGAAGUAUAUAUCAGAAUUAUUAAAAGGCAUAGAUGUAAAAUACGUGCUAUUAGAAUAGAUUAUAAAAAUGUAUUUAUUUUCAGAUAAAUGACUGAAUCUUAUUUAAAGAAAUCUUCUAGUGGAAGUAUGGAUUUGUCAUCAGAUAUUUAUCUAGUUUGGACGCACUAAAUUGCAAAUACAUAGAUACAAGUUAUCAUACUCGUUAUGUUCAAGAGUAAACCGAUGUGUUAUACGUACGAGACAUCGCAAAUAAAAAUUGUGUCUGCUAUACAAAUCGAUAAACAGAAUUUCUAGAGUGUUUUACUUAUUCGAAAUAUCUGCUCGUUUGCCUUGAAACGAGCCAACUUGUCCGAGACAUGAUAAGAUGCAAAUACCGCUGGAUUCUCCCUUAUGAAGAUACCACGCAUGAAUAUGUGUAGAUUUAAUUAGAGAAAAAUGCAAUUUGUAUUGCAUGUACUGCAAUGUAAUGAGUCCACCAAGGCAACUAUUUAUUAAAAAGAAUAUUUGUUUCA